GGCGAGAGAGCAGCCUGGCUGUUGGAUCUUUCAUCCCGUUGAUCACCAGGAUCGAUUCAGCUGAGGUGGCUGGCUAGGUGGGUGUCCCAUUCUUCCCUCAGUAGUCAUGUGAAUCUCUGCCAAAUCUAUGUGCCUGUUUGAAGACAACGAUCUUCCCCAAAACAGGAAUUCUAUCAAAGGUUUAUAAGUAGCUGUACUCCCUUGCUGGAACCUCCAAACAAGCUCUCAAACCACCACAGUCUACUCUUCGGAAAUGCGUAAUUACUAGCGUCUUUAACACCUACCAGUGUGGAAGUAUGAU
ensembl:misc_RNA 7SK 7SK RNA